GGGGUGUAUAGCUCAGUGGUAGAGCAUUCGUCUGUUGUUCGAGAAGUCCCCGGUUCAAACCCGGGUGCCCCCU
rnacentral:tRNA from 1 species